UUGGUGAACCAGCGGAGGGAUCAUUACCGAGUUUACAACUCCCAAACCCCUGUGAACAUACCAAUUGUUGCCUCGGCGGAUCAGCCCGCUCCCGGUAAAACGGGACGGCCCGCCAGAGGACCCCUAAACUCUGUUUCUAUAUGUAACUUCUGAGUAAAACCAUAAAUAAAUCAAAACUUUCAACAACGGAUCUCUUGGUUCUGGCAUCGAUGAAGAACGCAGCAAAAUGCGAUAAGUAAUGUGAAUUGCAGAAUUCAGUGAAUCAUCGAAUCUUUGAACGCACAUUGCGCCCGCCAGUAUUCUGGCGGGCAUGCCUGUUCGAGCGUCAUUUCAACCCUCAAGCCCAGCUUGGUGUUGGGACUCGCGAGUUAAACCGCGUUCCCCAAAUUGAUUGGCGGUCACGUCGAGCUUCCAUAGCGUAGUAGUAAAACCCUCGUUACUGGUAAUCGUCGCGGCCACGCCGUUAAACCCCAACUUCUGAAUGUUGACCUCG
rnacentral:rRNA from 1 species